UUGCCCCAGUAACGGCGAGUGAAGCGGCAGCAGCUCAAAUUUGAAAUCCGGCCCCCCCCGGCGGGGGCCCGAGUUGUACUUUGCAGAGGAUGCUCCCGGCCUGGACGCCUUCCGAGUUCCCUGGAACGGGACGCCGCAGAGGGUGAGAGCCCCGUCGGGUCGGACGCCCGGGCCCCUGUGGAGCUCCUUCGACGAGUCGAGUAGUUUGGGAAUGCUGCUCUAAACGGGAGGUAUAUGUCUUCUAAAGCUAAAUACCGGCCAGAGACCGAUAGCGCACAAGUAGAGUGAUCGAAAGGUGAAAAGCACUUUGGAAAGAGAGUUAAACAGCACGUGAAAUUGUUGAAAGGGAAGCGCUCGCGACCAGACCUGGGCCCGGCGGACCAGCCGGCGUUCCGCGCCGGCGCACCCCGCCGGUGUCCCAGGCCAGCAUCAGCCCGCGCCGGGGGAGAAGGGCGGCGGGAACGUGGCUCCCCAGGGAGUGUUAUAGCCCGCCGCGCGAUGCCCCGGGGCGGGCUGAGGCCCGCGCGCCUCGGCGCAAGGAUGCUGGCGUAAUGGUCGCCAGCGACCCGUCUUGAAACACGGACCAAGGAGUCGUCUUCGUAUGCGAGUGUUCGGGUGUCAAACCCCUGCGCGGAAUGAAAGUGAACGCUGGUGGGAGCCCCUCCCCCCCGGGGGGGGGGCGCACCACCGACCGAUCCCGAUGUGCUCGGACGGAUUUGAGUAGGAGCAUACGGGGCCGGACCCGAAAGAAGGUGAACUAUGCCUGUGCAGGGUGAAGCCAGAGGAAACUCUGGUGGAGGCUCGCAGCGGUUCUGACGUGCAAAUCGAUCGUCAAACAUGGGCAUGGGGGCGAAAGACUAAUCGAA
rnacentral:rRNA from 1 species